CCCUCUCACUUCUUCUCUCUCCUCAACCCUCACCAAAUCGCGUCCCUCUCACUUUUUCUCUCGGUUUCUAGGGUUAGACCUUCCUACGGUUGCACUUCCUCGCCGCCGUCCCUCACCCAAUCGCGUCCAAAUCUCUUCCCACCGUCGGCCUUCCAUCGCCUCCCAUCGAUCUCUGCCGGUUUUUGGAUCGUAAUUUGAGGGUUUUGAACUUGGCGGCUCCUUUGCGGUGGUAGACUUCGGCGAGCACAAAGGUUGCCGAAAAGGAGUCAUCACCGAGGUCGUCCAUGAACCAGGUCGUGAUGCCCCCAUCGCUCGCGUCACUUUCUGACACCAUUCAGGUACAAGCACCAGAAGGAGUUGUUCGUCGCUGCAGAGGGUAUGUACACUGGCCAGUUCAUUUAUUGUGGGAAGAAGGCUAAUCUUAUGGUAGGAAAUUUUCUUCCUUUGAGAUCUAAUCCUGAAGGAGCAGUUGUUUGUAAUGUUGGUUAUCGUGGUGUUCUUGCCCGUGCUUCUGGAGAUUACGCCAUUGUUAUCUCUCACAACCCUGAUAAUGAUACCUCUAGGUUCAAGUGUUUGAGAAGCAAUGCGGAUCCCUAACUCUGUAUGGCAUGAAACAUAUGCGAGCCUUUGCUAACAUAUGUCACAAAAAGAGUAAUCAGAAAAGGACACGACGGUGAUGAACUAACUGAAGCACAUGAGCUUCCGAAGGUAUUUAUUGGAAAGGUUCCAAUCAUGCUUCGUUCAAGUUAUUGUACAUUGUAUCAGAGUUCAGAGAAGUAUCUUACAUAGCUUGGUGAGUGCCCUUAUGAUCAAGGUAGGUAUUUCAUCAUCAACGGGAGUGAAAAGCUGCUUAUUGCUCAGGAGAAGAUGAGCACGAAUCACGUCUCAUUUCACUGCCUUCUUAUAUAUGCAUCCGAAUCUUCUUCGUCUUAUUUCUCUGCCCCCUUCAAUUCGCUGGAACUCUGCUGCACCAACUGAAACUGUUGUUGAUGAAUCAUAUUUUAUCAUCAAACCCUCAAUCUCUAUUAUAUCAGCAAUUUUGUUACAUGUCGACGGCGUAAACGGAACAAAUGGCGGCGAUUAUGGCGACGAGGUGUCGGUGGCUUAGGAGAGAGUGAAAGAGGAGGACCUCUGUAACACAUCCUGUCAUCUGGGGUUACCUUCCUCGCCGUCGUCCGUCACCAAAUCGCGUCCCAAAGCAGCGUUAAAGGUUUAAAUGUGGAUGACGGUUCAACGUUUGUUGAUUCAUUGCCGAUUUAUGUCAGAGAAUUGAUCACCGGCGGCGCUGCAGGCGCUUUUGCUAAGAACGAGGUUGUUCCCGUUGGGAGAAUUAAUUCUUUUUCCAGAAUACCUGUUCCACCUGAUCUUGGUUGGUAAUUACCUAGACAUCAAGAGUCUGCUGGACUUAACCUGCCAAACCGUGGCCGAUAUGAUUAAAGGAAAAACCCCGGAGGAGAUCAGGAAGAUCUUCCAUAUCAAGAACGAAUUCACCGAGGAAGAGGAGGCGGAGAUUAGGAAGGAGAACCAGUGGGCCUUUGAAUGAUCCAACUUCAUUGCAGCAACCAUUCACUACAAACGUGAUAUUAAGCCUUUCUGACCUCCUUCCUCCGCUUGACUCGAGGCAUCAUACACCGCGAAACCAAUGAUUUUGGUGACAAAUGUAUACCCAGUUGUCUGAAAACCUUUGCAAGUAAGAGAAGCGUGUUAGAGAGAGAAAGAGUAGAGAGGAGCAGCAAUGGAGUUCGUCAGCCCAGAAGGCCUCCGCCUAGACGGUCGUCGCCCCUUGGAGAUGAGGCAGCUUCCCGCUCAAGGAAGCAGUCAAGACAUAGCACCAGUAAAGAACCCAGCCAAACUAAAAAAAAAAGGCCACCUGCAGACAUUGCAUAGCACGCAGCAGAGACAGCAACCGAGAACGGCAACAGAGUGUUAUGGAAUUAACUAGAUUUUGAUUUUUCAAGGGAUUUUGACUUUUCAGUAGUAUUGUAUUGACUUUUACUUUAUUUAAACGGAACAAUUGUUUUAUAUUUCUUAGUUUGAUUACGAAUUAAUUAUGAAUAUUGAAUUAUGAGUGUUAUGCAAUUAACUAAGAUUUAGAUCCCGUAAAAA